rnacentral:tRNA from 2 species
GCCUUCGUGGUGUAGUGGUCAGCAUGCUCGACGCGUAUUCGAGAGGUCCGUGGUUCGAGUCCCGGCGAGGGCA